CAAGUCAUGGCUCAAAUCUAUCCUUUGUAAAAGGUUCAACAAUCCAUAUCAUUUAGACAAAAAAAAGUUUAUGGCCUGAGUGUUUUGGGUAAACAAAUUAACAAAUGAUAUUCUACAAAUACAACAAUAUAAAAGAAUUGUUAAGUCACAAGCUCAGCACCAAUUUUCUGGAUAUGUUAAUUUCACAACUUUUACACAAAAUUGUUAACACUUGCACAGAUACUUGUGACAUACAGUCACAUACUAUCAGAAUAAAAGGCCAGAAAACAGCAAAUAUAAUAAGUUAACUGAACAACAUCAAAAAUGUAAAAUAUGAUAGAAAUAUAGUUCAUGUGUCAACUCAAUAUACAAGGAUGUCAUAUUUUGAAAUAAAAGAAAAUAAUUUGUUCCUUUGCAUUGCUUUCAAUAUGUCAUGUCAAUACAUGUUACCAUCUGUUUAACUUGUGUAAGGAAAGACAAUCCAGGUUGUGGUAGUGCCACCUUAAUAGUUUUAAGUAGUCUAUAAAUUCUAAAGCACUUUUUUCAGUUAUUGGAGUUUUCUGCAUAAUGAUAAGUAUUUGUUAAAAUAUUCAUCAGAAUUUCACCUGAACAUU
rnacentral:lncRNA from 1 species